GACGAACGCUGGCGGCGUGCUAAACACAUGCAAGUCGAACGGAAAGGCCCUGCUUUUGUGGGGUGCUCGAGUGGCGAACGGGUGAGUAACACGUGAGUAACCUGCCCUUGACUUUGGGAUAACUUCAGGAAACUGGGGCUAAUACCGGAUAGGAGCUCCUGCUGCAUGGUGGGGGUUGGAAAGUUUCGGCGGUUGGGGAUGGACUCGCGGCUUAUCAGCUUGUUGGUGGGGUAGUGGCUUACCAAGGCUUUGACGGGUAGCCGGCCUGAGAGGGUGACCGGCCACAUUGGGACUGAGAUACGGCCCAGACUCCUACGGGAGGCAGCAGUGGGGAAUAUUGCACAAUGAGCGGAAGCCUGAUGCAGCAACGCCGCGUGCGGGAUGACGGCCUUCGGGUUGUAAACCGCUUUCGCCUGUGACGAAGCGUGAGUGACGGUAAUGGGUAAAGAAGCACCGGCUAACUACGUG
rnacentral:rRNA from 1 species